AGAGAGAGAGAGAGAGAGAGAGAGAGAGAGAGAGAGAGAGAGGUACGGACGCUCCAACUGCACAACCAAUGUCUUACUAAGAUAUGGUCCAAAGGAGAAAGGAAGAAAAGGGUCUUCUCUAUAGUUGUCUGUUUUCACUGUGUUGUUGCUGCUGCUGCUACGAGCCUUGCCAAUGCUGCCUUGAUUGUUGUUGCUGCUGCACCUGAGAGAGAGAGAGAGAGAGAGAGAGAGAGAGAGAGAUGUAUGAGUUUUAACUAUCUGUAAUUGGAUUGGGAUUUGAUUCUGAAGGCUGUGUAAUAACUGAUGUUUUUUAUUUGUAUAUUUCUAUAGUGAUGAUGACGUA